rnacentral:tRNA from 1 species
GGGCAGUUAGUUCAGCUGGUUGAAUGCCUCGCUUACACCGAGGAGGUCGUAGGUUCGAGUCCUACACUGCCCA